GAAUGCUGACAUAAGUAACGAUAAAGCGGGUGAAAAGCCCGCUCGCCGGAAGACCAAGGGUUCCUGUCCAACGUUAAUCGGGGCAGGGUGAGUCGACCCCUAAGGCGAGGCCGAAAGGCGUAGUCGAUGGGAAACAGGUUAAUAUUCCUGUACUUGGUGUUACUGCGAAGGGGGGACGGAGAAGGCUAUGUUGGCCGGGCGACGGUUGUCCCGGUUUAAGCGUGUAGGCUGAUUUUCCAGGCAAAUCCGGAAAAUCAAGGCUGAGGCGUGAUGACGAGGCACUACGGUGCUGAAGCAACAAAUGCCCUGCUUCCAGGAAAAGCCUCUAAGCAUCAGGUAACAUCAAAUCGUACCCCAAACCGACACAGGUGGUCAGGUAGAGAAUACCAAGGCGCUUGAGAGAACUCGGGUGAAGGAACUAGGCAAAAUGGUGCCGUAACUUCGGGAGAAGGCACGCUGAUAUGUAGGUGAAGCGACUUGCUCGUGGAGCUGAAAUCAGUCGAAGAUACCAGCUGGCUGCAACUGUUUAUUAAAAACACAGCACUGUGCAAACACGAAAGUGGACGUAUACGGUGUGACGCCUGCCCGGUGCCGGAAGGUUAAUUGAUGGGGUUAGCGGUAACGCGAAGCUCUUGAUCGAAGCCCCGGUAAACGGCGGCCGUAACUAUAACGGUCCUAAGGUAGCGAAAUUCCUUGUCGGGUAAGUUCCGACCUGCACGAAUGGCGUAAUGAUGGCCAGGCUGUCUCCACCCGAGACUCAGUGAAAUUGAACUCGCUGUGAAGAUGCAGUGUACCCGCGGCAAGACGGAAAGACCCCGUGAACCUUUACUAUAGCUUGACACUGAACAUUGAGCCUUGAUGUGUAGGAUAGGUGGGAGGCUUUGAAGUGUGGACGCCAGUCUGCAUGGAGCCGACCUUGAAAUACCACCCUUUAAUGUUUGAUGUUCUAACGUUGGCCCGUUAUCCGGGUUGCGGACAGUGUCUGGUGGGUAGUUUGACUGGGGCGGUCUCCUCCUAAAGAGUAACGGAGGAGCACGAAGGUUGGCUAAUCCUGGUCGGACAUCAGGAGGUUAGUGCAAUGGCAUAAGCCAGCUUGACUGCGAGCGUGACGGCGCGAGCAGGUGCGAAAGCAGGUCAUAGUGAUCCGGUGGUUCUGAAUGGAAGGGCCAUCGCUCAACGGAUAAAAGGUACUCCGGGGAUAACAGGCUGAUACCGCCCAAGAGUUCAUAUCGACGGCGGUGUUUGGCACCUCGAUGUCGGCUCAUCACAUCCUGGGGCUGAAGUAGGUCCCAAGGGUAUGGCUGUUCGCCAUUUAAAGUGGUACGCGAGCUGGGUUUAGAACGUCGUGAGACAGUUCGGUCCCUAUCUGCCGUGGGCGCUGGAGAACUGAGGGGGGCUGCUCCUAGUACGAGAGGACCGGAGUGGACGCAUCACUGGUGUUCGGGUUGUCAUGCCAAUGGCACUGCCCGGUAGCUAAAUGCGGAAGAGAUAAGUGCUGAAAGCAUCUAAGCACGAAACUUGCCCCGAGAUGAG
rnacentral:rRNA from 1 species